AAUCCAUAAAUGUAGUGUGUCUCAUCAACUCCACUCUUCAGCCUUCGGUCUUCACAUCAUUGUGAGAAGGACCACCAUGUUGAUUCUUCUUCUUGCGGUUUUGCUCGCCUUUUCAGGCCCAAUGAAAGGAGAACAACAUUUGGAUGCAGGUGGCGGUGGUCUCAUGGCGCCUCCUCCUGAUCAGGAGAGCAGCCAUCUGGCUCCUUCUCCCCAAACUUCUCCAAAGAGUAACCCAACUCCAUUUCCAGUGACUGGUCAUUUGCCACAUCCUCGGACUCCAUUGACCCAGCCGCCUCCACGAGGCUGUGUGCAAGUGAAGAUAAACGUUUGGCCGUGCUUCCUCGUUUUUUGCGCAGCAGAAUGUCUCCUGGAGUCAUAUAGGGGCGGCCUGUGUCGUGGAGGUGCCUGCUAUUGUGUCAAGUGUCCCGUAGCAAAGACUAGUCCGUCAUUACAUUGAUGUGAUACAUGUGGCUUGAGUUUUCACUUGGUCUAAAAAAAUAAACAAUGUGGUGCUUAUAGUGUUCCUCGAUUAAAUAAUAUAAACAACGGCA